rnacentral:lncRNA from 1 species
AACGAGUUUUGGAAGUUACAGACGGUGUCCCCUACCACAUCAAGGCAAAAUGAACGCAAAGGGGAUCCUCGCAGUACUGGCUGUUUGCGCUUUACUUGUUGCAGGCACGUCCGCCUGCGGUGGUGAGGGCCGCUCCGAGUCGGGAAGAUGCGGUGACGGCGAGGCCCGCAGCGAACAAGGACCCGCCGAGGCCCGCCAGGACAGCGCUGCAAUGUCCGGCGAGUCGGCUCGCUGCGGUGGCCAGUCCGGUCGCUGUGAUGGCUAGCGGCACCCUCGGAUACGCAGCUUCUUCCGCCCAAAGCCAGCAGUAUUUAGCCAACUGCAGGGUUGUGGUUUCAAGUCACUGAA